rnacentral:misc_RNA from 1 species
UUUCCGUAGGUGAACCUGCGGAAGGAUCAUUAGUGAAUUCAAAUUUCUCCUCUCGGGGAGUGCAGUGUGGGCCCUCGUGCCCACGCUGUAGAAUACACAUCCUUAACACCUGUGAACUGUCUGUCAAGAUCAAGGCUUUCGGGCCUUGGCCUUGUACAUUACUACCAAACUUUACUCUGUAAAAAAUGUCAUCUUAUUAUAAACUUAAUAAAACUUUUAACAACGGAUCUCUUGGCUCUCGCAUCGAUGAAGAACGCAGC